GAGUUUGAUCGUGGCUCAGAGUGAACGCUGGCGGUAGGCCUAACACAUGCAAGUCGAACGGCAGCACAGAGGAGCUUGCUCCUUGGGUGGCGAGUGGCGGACGGGUGAGGAAUACAUCGGAAUCUACUCUGUCGUGGGGGAGUAACGUAGGGAACUUAACGCUAAUAACCGCAUACGACCUACGGGUGAAGCAGGGAGUCUUCGGACCUUGCGCGAUUGAAUGAGCCGAUGUCAGAUUAGCUAGUUGGCGGGGUAAAGGGACCCGACCAAGGCGACGAUCCGUAGCUGGUCUGAGAGGAUGAUCAGCCACACUGG
rnacentral:rRNA from 1 species